rnacentral:tRNA from 1 species
GCAGUAUAGUUCAGUGGUAGAAAGUGUGCUUAGAAUGCAUGAGGCCCUGGGUUCAAUUCCCAGCACCA